rnacentral:tRNA from 1 species
GCCGGAAUAGUUCAAUUGGGAGAGCGUUAGAUUAUAGAUCGAAGAUCCCUGGUUUGACCCCGGGUUUCGGAA